UUAGAACAUAUAUCAUUUUUAAUUUUGACAAUUUUUAUCGAAUCUUAUCAUUCGAUUUGAUUGUCAAUUCUCAAAAUGAGGAUUUCUAUUCUCAAUUCGAAUCAUGAUUUGACAACUAUGGAUGACACCCUUCUAAAAUACCAACGCAGUUAUAGUUACAUUAUUCUCAAGCAACUAAACACAUACAAUUAGAAUGUCCAUAAAAACAUUGCCAAAGUAGAUAUAGAAUGCUUUGUAUUCAGUAGCUCAAGGACCACAAGAGGCACAUAAAGUAUACAUACAGAAUAUUAAAUAACAGUAGGAAAAUCACAAGAACAAUUGAUGUCUAAAGAUAUAUAAUAGCAGCACAUAUGAUGUAAACUCAGACACCACCCCAGGUUAUUGAGACAGAGAAGCAGCAGGAAGGAGGGACCUUAGACUAACCCAUCAGUAAAGGCAAAAAAUACAACAGGAGAAAGCAUGGAUGAUACAUACGGGUCAGCACGGCAGAGUCGACAU
rnacentral:misc_RNA from 1 species